rnacentral:rRNA from 1 species
UCCUGACUGACCGAUAGUGAACCAGUACCGUGAGGGAAAGGCGAAAAGAACCCCGGCGAGGGGAGUGAAAAAGAACCUGAAACCGUGUACGUACAAGCAGUGGGAGCACGCUUAGGCGUGUGACUGCGUACCUUUUGUAUAAUGGGUCAGCGACUUAUAUUCUGUAGCAAGGUUAACCGAAUAGGGGAGCCGAAGGGAAACCGAGUCUUAACUGGGCGUUAAGUUGCAGGGUAUAGACCCGAAACCCGGUGAUCUAGCCAUGGGCAGGUUGAAGGUUGGGUAACACUAACUGGAGGACCGAACCGACUAAUGUUGAAAAAUUAGCGGAUGACUUGUGGCUGGGGGUGAAAGGCCAAUCAAACCGGGAGAUAGCUGGUUCUCCCCGAAAGCUAUUUAGGUAGCGCCUCGUGAAUUCAUCUCCGGGGGUAGAGCACUGUUUCGGCAAGGGGGUCAUCCCGACUUACCAACCCGAUGCAAACUGCGAAUACCGGAGAAUGUUAUCACAGGAGACACACGGCGGGUGCUAACGUCCGUCGUGAAGAGGGAAACAACCCAGACCGCCAGCUAAGGUCCCAAAGUCAUGGUUAAGUGGGAAACGAUGUGGGAAGGCCCAGACAGCCAGGAUGUUGGCUUAGAAGCAGCCAUCAUUUAAAGAAAGCGUAAUAGCUCACUGGUCGAGUCGGCCUGCGCGGAAGAUGUAACGG